GACAGAGGAUGCAAGCGUUAUCCGGAAUGAUUGGGCGUAAAGCGUCUGUAGGUGGCUUUUCAAGUCCGCCGUCAAAUCCCAGGGCUCAACCCUGGACAGGCGGUGGAAACUACCAAGCUGGAGUACGGUAGGGGCAGGAGGGAAUUUCCGGGUGGAGCGGUGAAAUGCAUUGAGAUCGGAAAGAACACCACGGCGAAAGC
rnacentral:rRNA from 1 species